rnacentral:snRNA from 1 species
GGAUGUGAGGGAAAUCUGACUGUGACAUCUGUCACCCCAUUGUUCAUCAGUGUUGAUGUGGCUGAUCUGGCUAGCUAGGCAGUGUCCCCUUCCUCCCUCACUGCACCAUGUGUGUCCCUCCCAAAGCUGCACGCCGUUGGAAGAGUACGAGGAUCCCAUAUAGAAGGAGUGUACCGUUCUUUGGUCAAGAGUAUGUGACAGCUGUGCUCCCCUUCUAGAACCUCCGAACAAGCUCCAUUUGUAGGAGACAUAGGGUAGUCAAGCUGUCAAGACUCCAGACAACANCCAAGUAAGGCACUGCAUGUGGCACUCUGCCAUUCUUU